CAGUAGCCGCGGUAAAACAGAGGGUGCGAGCGUUAAUCGGAUUUACUGGGCGUAAAGCGUGCGUAGGCGGCUUCUUAAGUCGGAUGUGAAAUCCCUGAGCUUAACUUAGGAAUUGCAUUCGAUACUGGGAAGCUAGAGUAUGGGAGAGGAUGGUAGAAUUCCAGGUGUAGCGGUGAAAUGCGUAGAGAUCUGGAGGAAUACCGAUGGCGAAGGCAGCCAUCUGGCCUAAUACUGACGCUGAGGUACGAAAGCAUGGGGAGCAAACAGGAUUAGAUACCCGAGUAGUCCCUGUCUCUUAUAC
rnacentral:rRNA from 1 species